ensembl:lncRNA
GGGGAAAGCAGAGGCAGACAUUAUUAUUUAUUUCCCACAUUGUAAAACCAAAGAAGCCAUCAGAACCUUUCCUUUCUGAGGGUUGAAGGCCUCUGUGGACCCUGGUCCCAUUCCGUAACCUUGUACCCUGAAAGUAGCUUCUGACCAGGUAGAAAAGCCACACACCUCCCACUCCCUGACCCUCAAGCUUCCACCUGUUUCACCUUGAGCGCUUUCGAGGUGAAAUCUGAAACCAACCCCUAGUGGAGAGCACUCAGAGGGAGGGAUAGAAAAGAAAGAGCCGACCACUUGGAUUGGUAGGUGGGAGUUCUAACAUGUAAGGCAACUUACAUUUUUGUCUGGGGCGGCCCCAAGGCCAGCAGAUCUCUGCACUCACCUUCAGAAACUUAAAAGGUUUAUCGGGAGGUCUUAGCGGGGUUCAGCUGCAUAUACAGUGCCGAUGCACCUAAUAGCCUCCCUCUCUUAAGGCUGUAUCCUUAGAACUCCCGCUGUGGGAACAGUGGGCACAAGGUCCAUUCCAAAGACGGGAGGGCUGGAGCCUCCGAUUGCCCAGGUUCAACUCACGUGUCAAUCAACGGUCACAUCCUUUCGAUGACCUCCCCUAACAACCUCUCAUGCUGAGCAGGAUUUCCUGAGGCUCCGACACUUGCCAGGCCUCCAGUGUGGGUCAAGCAAGACCCAUUCUUUGACCAGACCCAGUGCGUCUUCCUUCUCCCUCUGCUUCCUGACCAUCAGGUGUUAGAAAUUCGAGGCUCCACAGGUGACCUGAGAGCACCGUGGACCUCUGUGUCCUCUCCUUGUCAUCCUUCUGGAUUUCACUGCUGUCCCGUGAGGCGGAAUGUCUUUGUGGUCAUGUACAGUUGUAAGAGUUGGACCAUCAAGAAGGCUGAGCACUGAAGAAUUGAUGUUUUCAAAUUAUGGUGCUGGAGAGACUCCUGAAAGUCCCUUGGAGUGCAAGGAGAUCAAACCAGUCAAUCCUAAAGGAAAUCAAUCCUGAAUAUUCAUUGGAAGCGCUGUUGCUGAAACUGAAGCUCCAGUACUUUGAUUACCUAAUGUGACCAGUCUGACUCAUUGGAAAAAACCCUGAUGCUGGGAAAGAUUGAGGGCAAAAGGAGAACGGGGGCGGCAGAGGGUGAGAUGGUUGGCAAGCAUUACUGACUCAACAUGAAUUUGAGUAAACUCUGGAAGAUAGUGGAGGACAGAGGAGCCUGAUGUGCUGCAGUCCAUGGGGUCUCAAAGAGUCAGACAAGGCUUAGGGACUCAACACAACAACAACCACCUACCUGGACCCCCU